rnacentral:rRNA from 1 species
UACAGAGGUCUCAAGCGUUGUUCGGAUUCAUUGGGCGUAAAGGGUGCGUAGGCGGCGCGGUAAGUCGGGUGUGAAAUUUCGAGGCUUAACUUCGAAACUGCAUUCGAUACUGCCGUGCUAGAGGACUGGAGGGGAGACUGGAAUUUACGGUGUAGCGGUGAAAUGCGUAGAUAUCGUAAGGAAGACCAGUGGCGAAGGCGGGUCUCUGGACAGUUCCUGACGCUGAGGCACGAAGGCCAGGGGAGCAAACGGG